UACGAAGGGGGCGAGCGUUGUUCGGAUUUACUGGGCGUAAAGGGCGCGCAGGCGGCUUAUUUUGUCAGGCGUGAAAGCCCCGGGCUUAACCUGGGAACUGCGUUUGAUACGGAUGGGCUAGAGUUUGGGAGAGGGACGCGGAAUUCCAGGUGUAGCGGUGAAAUGCGUAGAUAUCUGGAGGAACACCGGUGGCGAAGGCGGCGUCCUGGACCAACACUGACACUGAUGAGCGAAAGCCAGGGGAGCAAACGGG
rnacentral:rRNA from 1 species